UACAGAGGGUGCUAGCGUUGUUCGGAAUCAUUGGGCGUAAAGGGCGUGUAGGCGGUUUGUUAAGUCAUGUGUGAAAUCCCUCGGCUCAACCGGGGAACGACGCAUGAAACUGGCAAGCUAGAGUACCAAAGAGGGGGGUGGAAUUCCCGGUGUAGCGGUGAAAUGCGUAGAGAUGUGGAGGAAUACCGAUGGCGAAGGCAGCCUCCUGGGCCAACACUGACGCUCAUGCACGAAAGCGUGGGGAGCAAACAGG
rnacentral:rRNA from 1 species